rnacentral:rRNA from 1 species
GGGACAGCCCGUCGAAAGGCGGAUUAAUACCGUAUGUUGUCAUGUUGAUGCAUAUUUUCAUGACCAAAGGCUUCGGCCGGUAAAGGAUGGGGAUGCGUCUGAUUAGCUUGCCGGCGGGGUAACGGCCCACCGGGGCGACGAUCAGUAGGGGUUCUGAGAGGAAGGUCCCCCACAUUGGAACUGAGACACGGUCCAAACUCCUACGGGAGGCAGCAG